rnacentral:rRNA from 1 species
AUGCGGCCGUUCUGCCUCGUCGUCGGUGUGUUCCUGCUGCUCCGAUGGCCGGCAUUGAGCGUUGCUUGGGCACCGGUGGCCAGGACCAUCACCGUGGAUCAACAUGGAGGAGGGGACUACUGGACGGUGCAGUCGGCGGUGGACGCCGUGCCGUACGGCAACAGCCAGUGGGUCAGGAUCUACGUCAAGCAAGGGAGCUACAGGGAGAAGGUGACAAUCCCAAGCCAGAAAGGCUUCAUUUUGCUCCAAGGUGACGGCUCCUUCAAUACCGACAUCAACUUCGACGGGCACGGCUACGGCACCGACGCGCCCGGCAUCCCGAUCACGGGCCGGAACCGCCGCAACCUCACGGACAUCUCGCCGACGUACACCAGCGCCACCUUCAGAGUCAAUGCCGACAACUUCGUCGCCCGCAACAUCGCCUUCAAGAACACGUUCAACGGCGGGCACCCGGCGGUGGGGGUGUUGAUCGACGGCGACAAGGGCGCGUUCUACGACUGCGCCUUCCACGGGUUCCAGGACACGCUGUGCGACCUCAUGGGCCGGCACUACUUCCGCCGCUGCCUCGUGGAGGGCGGCGUCGACUUCAUCUUCGGCUACGGCCAGUCCAUCUACGAGGACUGCACCCUCGUGUCCAACAUGCCGGCGUGGUCCCAGCAGCCCGGGUGGGUGACGGCGCACGGCAGGGCCGGCGGUAGGAGCGCGGCGCUCGUGUUCAAGGGCGGCGCGAUCACCGGCUCCGGCCGGCAGUACCUCGGCCGCGCGUGGAACGAGCAGGCCACCGUGGUGUUCUUCCAGGUGAACAUGGCCGGCAUCGUCGUCCCGCAGGGGUGGGACAAGUGGACGCCCGGCCAAGAUGUGUCACAGGUGACGUUUGCGGAGGUCGGAUGCAGUGGCCCGGGCUCCGGCACCGCCGGAAGAGUGCCAUGGGAGAAGCACAUGAGCUAUGCAGAGGUGCAGAGGUUCGUCGACAUCAGGUUCAUCGAUGACGGUUGGCUAUCCAAUCAGCCCUAG